GGCCCGGACAGGGGUACGCCGGCCGGUGGAUGCCUCGGCUUGGGCGCCGACGAAGGACGUGGCAAGCUGCGAUAAGCCCCGGGUACCCGCAGGCAGGGGUAGAUCCGGGGAUCUCCUAAUGGGACAUCCUGCGGCGGGCUUCGGCUCGCCGCGGUCCCGGCCUCGAGCCGGGAUCGGGAACCCCCCGAACGGAAGCAUCCAAGUAGGGGGAGGAGAAGAAAUCAAACGAGAUUCCCCUAGUAGGGGCGACCGAACGGGGAGAAGCCCAAACCGAACCCCCUGGGGAAACUCAGGGGGAAUGUGGGGUUAAGGGCCGGGGGUCCACCCUGAAGCCCGAGCCGAACUCCCCUGGAAUGGGGGGCCACAGAGGGUGACAGCCCCGUAGGCGAAGGGCGGAUGGGUGAUGCCCCGGAUCCCAGAGUACCGCACCUCGGAUAUGGUGCGGGAAGUUGGGGGCCACUGGCCUCCAAGGCUAAAUACGUCCCAAGACCGAUAGCGGACCAGUAGCGUGAGCGAAAGGUGAAAAGUACCCCGAGAGGGGGGUGAAAAGCGCCUGAAACCGGCCGGUAACAGACGAGGGCGGCCCGAAAGGGAAAUCCCCGUCAAGGCCCCGCAAGGGGCCGCGCGGGGACAAUCCCAGGGUCGUCCGCUCCGUCUUGAAACACGGGCCGGGGAGUUCACGGGUGUGGCGAGUCUAAGGGCUGUAAGCCCGGAGGCGUAGGGAAACCGAGCGCCCGCAGCCGGGGUUAGCCCCGGCGAGGGGCGGGGUCCGAAAGGGCCUGUAGCCACGCCCGUGAGGCUAGAAACCGGGCGAUCUAGCCCUGGGCAGGGUGAAGCCGGGGGAAACCCCGGUCGAGGCCCGAAUAGGGGUCCUGACGUGCAAUUCGGUCCCCUGACCUGGGGCUAGGAGUCAAAAGCUAACCGAGCCCGGUGAUAGCUAGUUCCCCCCGAAGUGUCUCGCAGGACAGCCCCGGGGGAGGUUGCCCGCGGGGUAGGGCACUGAUAGGGGAGAAAGGGGCCGAUGAGGCCCCGCUCUCCUUUCAAACUACGAACCCGCGGGCGCCGUAGAUCCCGGGAGUGGGGUACUGGGGGUAAGCUCCAGGACCGAGAGGGGAACAACCCAGACCUCGGGUUAAGGCCCCUAAGUGCCCGCUAAGUGACAAACCGAAGGGCGUCCCCGUCCUGAGACAGCGGGGCCGUAGGCUUAGAAGCAGCCAUCGGCUAAGAAGUGCGUAACAGCUUACCCGCCGAGGACGGGGGCCCCGAAAAUUGACGGGUCUAAGCGGGCCGCCGAAACCCGGGCUCACCCGUGCCUUGCACGGGUGGGGGUAGGGGGGCGUGGCGGCUGGGCAGAAGCGGGGCCGUGAGGUCCCGUGGACCGGCCGCCAAUGCAGAUCCCGGUGGUAGUAGACAGCGAAGAGGGGUGGGAAAGAGAGGGUCAGGGCCGUCCAAUAAUCUUUAAAUAACCAGUCUUAAACAAAUCUACGAAGUAAAGGGCAUGAUUUGUGUAGAUAUUGCCGAAUUGGUUCCCGAAACCUUGAACUUUAGCAAAGUGAUUAGGAAGAUAAUUGAGGACGACAGGAUAAUCAUUCAAUAUAAGUACCGAAACGGCCGGGUGGGAAGCAUCGUUAUCCGACGAUUCGUCCCCGCGAUCUUAUUCGGGUACGCUAUAGGCCUCUACGCAGGUGAAGGAACCAAGAGGCCCAAAACCGUGAAGACGAGGUUCGAAUUCGUUAAUAGCGACCCUAAUAAGCUUCUGGCCAUGGUCAAAUUUUUGGAGAUAUUAGGGGUGACGAGAAGUGCGAUUAAACCUCGAUUGCAAAUUAAACUCGCUAAAUGGGAACGUGACGAGGUCGUACAGAAAUUGGAGAGAUAUUGGUCAAAUCUGCUGAAUAUACCCUUGUCGCAAUUCCGCAAAUCCGUAGUGAGGCGUGGAUCGCGAACAUCACGCUCAAAUUUUGGAACUCUCUCAAUUAGGGUUUACAAUUCCUUCCUCCUUGACUUGUUCACCUUUUGGGAACGGACGGCCCUUCUCCCUCUCCUCGAAUCCCCUCCGCCGGAAGGGCACGGGUUUCCCGGCAAUGCGUCGUCAGCCGGGAGUAAGCCGGUCCUAAGGCCGACCUUAACCGGGUAGGCCGAAGGGGAAGCCGGUUAAGAUUCCGGCGCCUCCCGGGUAGGUGCGGCAACGCAGGCCGGACCCCUGACGCUUCGGGGUAGGCCGACCGGGGCCGUAGCUCCGGCCAAGCGCUGAAGCCCGGGGAGGGCCGUAAUGGCGAGAACCGGGUGAAGGCGUGACGGGGCGGCGCAUGCCGCUUCGGCCGAUCCCUGGAGCCAGUGAAAAGGGGGUCCGGAACGAUCCCGGGAGACCGUACCUAGAUCCGACACUGGUGCCCCUGGCUGAGAAGGCCAAGGCGUCUGGGGUGACUCCGGGCCAGGGAACUCGGCAAAUUGGCCCCGUAACCUCGGGAGAAGGGGUGCCUGCCUUCCUCUCCGACGAGGAGGGGUUGGCAGGUCGCAGUGACAAGGGGGUCCCGACUGUUUAAUAAAAACAUAGGAAGCCGCAAGGCCGAAAGGCUUUGAACGGCUUCUCAAUCCUGGCCAGCACCGGUACCUGAAACCCGGGUCCAACCGGGAUAAGGGCCGGCUAGCGCCGGGGGUAAUCCUGACCCUCUUAAGGUAGCCAAAUGCCUUGUCGGGUGAGUUCCGACGCGCACGAAUGGAUCAACGAGGGCCCCACUGUCCCGGCCCGGAGCCCCGUGAACCCACAUAACGUGGACGAACAGUCCACGGACCCCCAGCGGGGAGAGAAGACCCUGUGGAGCUUUACUGCAGCCUGUCGCUGCGGGAUGGCUCUGGGUGCAUAGCGUAGCCGGGAGCCGUCGAUCCGGGCCUCUCCGGGGGCCCGGGGAGGCGCCAAUGUAACACCGGCCACCUGGGGCUGUCCCGCUAACCGGGGCCUGUGCCCUGGGACAACGGCAGGUGGGCAGUUCGGCUGGGGCGGCACUCCCCCGAAAAGAUAUCGGGGGAGCCCAAAGGUCGGCUCAGGCGGGACAGAAACCCGCUGUAGAGUGCAAGGGCAAAAGCCGGCCUGACAGGACCCUCGAACGCAAGGGGUCCUGAGGGGAAACCCGGGCCUAGCGAUCCAUCGGCCCCUACCAGUGGGGGCCGGUGGUGACAGAAAAGUUACCCCAGGGAUAACAGGCUCGUCGCGGGCGAGAGUCCCCAUCGACCCCGCGGCUUGGUACCUCGAUGUCGGCUCUUCCCAUCCUGGCCUCGCAGCAGGGGCCAAGGGUGAGGCUGCUCGCCUAUCAAAGGGGAACGUGAGCUGGGUUUAGACCGGCGUGAGCCAGGUCGGAUUCUACCUGCUGGGGGUGCGGGCCGCCUGAGGGCAAGGUCCUCCUAGUACGAGAGGAACGGAGGGCCGGGGCCAACGGUGUGCCGGUCGUCCUACAGGGCGACGCCGGGCAGCCGCGCCCCUGGGGAUAAGGGCUGAAAGCAUCUAAGCCCGAAGCCCCUCCCAAAAAUAGGCGGCCAAUCGGGGCCUAUAGGGCCCGGCAACGGGCCUUGGGCCCCGACGAGGGCUCCCCUAGAAGAGGGGGUUGAUGGGGUGGGCGUGUAAGGGCGGAGGCGUAAGCCGGACGCCCUCAGCGCGCCACUCCCAAUCGCCCGAGCUGUCCGGGCG
rnacentral:rRNA from 1 species